GACGAACGCUGGCGGCGUGCUUAACACAUGCAAGUCGAACGGAAAGGCCCCUUUGGGGGUACUCGAGUGGCGAACGGGUGAGUAACACGUGAGUAACCUGCCCUUGACUUCGGGAUAACUUCAGGAAACUGGGGCUAAUACCGGAUAGGAAUCCUUGCUGCAUGGUGGGGGUUGGAAAGCUUCGGCGGUUUUGGAUGGACUCGCGGCUUAUCAGCUUGUUGGUGGGGUAGUGGCUUACCAAGGCUUUGACGGGUAGCCGGCCUGAGAGGGCGACCGGCCACAUUGGUACUGAGAUACGGCCCAGACUCCUACGGGAGGCAGCAGUGGGGAAUAUUGCACAAUGGGCGGAAGCCUGAUGCAGCAACGCCGCGUGCGGGAUGACGGCCUUCGGGUUGUAAACCGCUUUCAGCAGGGGCGAAGCUUGUGGUGACGGUACCUGCAGAAGAAGCACCGGCUAACUACGUG
rnacentral:rRNA from 1 species